rnacentral:tRNA from 1 species
CAGGGGAUAGUUUAUAUAAAACACUAGUUUUGGGUAUUAGAAAAAAAAUUAAUAUAUUUUCUUCUGA